rnacentral:ncRNA from 2 species
AAGCUCAGGAGGGAUAGC